CUCUGCCGCCGGCGCCCGCAAAGCCGCCCCCGGGCUCUUUGCUAACCCUUUCUGCCCCGCGGCUCCGCCUUUCCCCAAAGUCCCGGUGAAGCGUUUACAGCUCUUCGACGUGUUCUACUCAGGCCACCUGAUUGUACAGAGGAGAAAACUGAGGCUCAGAAGAUUGAGGUGCCAGGGUCCAGCGCCUUCACCCGCCUUCCGACUCUCUCCAGUAUUCUUACCACCCCAGUUUGCCUCCUUUAAAAAUAAUAGUAGUUAACAUUUAUUGACCGCCUACUGCGUGAUAGACACUGUAUUAAGCGUUUUGGCGCUUAGUUCAGUUAAUCGUCCUCAAAUCCCUUGAGAAAUGUUUGUAAAUACUUCUCUAAUGGCCAAAUUUAUCAGCCUUUCGUGCCUUGGAGUGUGAAGAAGUGAAAAACAGAGCCUGGGCUGGCAGGACUCACUACUUUCCACCGAGGGCUUAGAGGGAUAGCGAGAGGAACCCUGAAUCGCAGACAUUGUCAGGCUCCCUGCUGGAUGCAGUGGCACUGAAGAGUGUAUGAUGGAUUGAAAUCCUGCCGACCUGGAGUUUUCUAAAUGGUGACUGUGGAGAGAUGCCAAGGAAAGAGAAUGGUGCCAAAUGCAGAAUCCUCAAGUUGCUCUCUAAACCAACAGAAAUUCAUCUGGGAGCUGGAUUUCACUGAGGCAGGAAGUAUUUCACCUACAAAGAUAGUGCAUGUGUGGAGAUUAUAUUUGGGAUCAGGAAAUAAAGAAGAAAAGUAAAGCUACAUUGUAUUUUAGUAGACAGUCAGAAGAGAACA